GCAUCGUCAUCCCUCCAUUUUCAAUGGGUUUGUAGACAAGAUUUUCCAAGGUGUUAUACUUCCUUUUUGCACAAGAGGGCAGCAGAGAAGCAGAGAAGGCCCGGAGAAAGCAGAUCAGAGGAGCCUAAAGCUUUAAUUUUGGGCGUAGUGUUUUCAAAAACACCCUUCAAAAAUCAAACCACAUCGUAUUCUUUUAAAAAUAACUCCAGUCAGUUCAUUUGCCUAUUGUACUUCAAAAGAAAACCAGACCUACACCUAAGAAUAGGGUCUUAUGAAUGCUCAGUACAUGCUUCAUCACUGACCUCCUCAGCCCCAGAAAACAUCUUUGCUGCAGUCUUGGGAGCCUUCUGGAUCAUAUCUCCUAAUUUAAGUAGAGGAAAAGGCCUCUCAUCUACCAUGUUGCUGCUCCAGGAAAGGAAUGGGAAGGUAACUUGGAACCACUUACCUACUGGAACAGCAAAUCGCAAGGGCAUGAGAGCAGGAGAAUGAAAACAAAUGAGAGCUGUGAAUUCGAGAGAGGGAAGAGUGGAGGGAAAAAGAACAGUGUCAUUGAAUGAAGAGAGGGAAGUGAUAAAUAGAAUGAAAGAGAACCCAUUGCUUGCCAGGCGCUUUGACAAAAGUAAAAAGAAGGAAAAGAAAGAAUGAAUGACAACUGAAGAUCUCCUGGCUGCACAGAAGAAAUCUACCUUCCAUGGAAACCACAGAUCACUCCAUGGAUUCUUCAGUACAGGUUGUUAUGUGCUUCUCGAGUGUCACAGAAAAGGGUGAACCAACUUCCCCAGGAGUAUGAAGAUGUAAGAGGAUGUACACAGUGGCACGUGGACUGCAUUUGCAUGAAAGCAUGUGCAGUGAUACAGUGCUGGCACAGAUUAUUAAAUAACAUGCAGCAUCAACCAAAGGAUCACUCCACCCAGACAAACAGAUCCUCAGCUGUGGGGCAUCAUGGGAUGUUGGAAAGACAAUGGGGUCGAUUAAAGGAUAGAGGCUGAGACCUGCUGGGAGAUGCUGGAGAAGACACACAGAAGGGGAUGUCAUAAAAGGACUCUGGCCUUUGACAAUCAGUUUCAAUUUAUGUUGAAUGUGAAAAGGCAUCUUGAGAAACUAUAAAUCAAGCAUGGUAAUCUACCUAAGCUCUUGUGUUGUUAAGUAAACACCAUUAUGGGUCAAGAAUUAAACUGAAAACAUGAAACUUUCUGGAACUUCUGGGAUCCACCUGCAUGUCAUGUAUUUCUGGGAUCACCCGAGAGGGGUCAGCCUAGUCUAAACACUUGAAGAAUUAUGAACAUAAAGCUUUGGCUGUUUUCAAGACCCUCAAAAGUACUUUGAGAAACUAGUGUUUGUACAGAGAGUACAAUGACUCCAGCAAGUUGUUUACAGCACAGAGGUCCUGGCCAGAACAUACCAUCUGUGUGCCAUGAAUUAGCAGAGGAGUCUAUUGUGUGCUACAACCAACCCAUUUGUUGUGGUUAACUGUGAGACUCUAGCCUACAGAUCUGAAUUAGCAGGGUCACGUGAGUCUCUCCAGAGUAAUCCUCCUUUGGAGUAGUCUUGGUUUUGACAGAGAGGGAAGGCACAGGUUUUGGAUGGAGCAAGCUGGGAAUUGCUUGAUUCCUUAAAAUUUUUUUCUACCAAUUCCAUGUUGUGUACUUUUUAGCAAAUAGGGAUUUUUUGGAAACAACUUAUUGCAUUAUGUUUUAUUUUUUCCAAGAAAUUACUUUUUAUUAGUCCAAAUUAGAAACAAGCCUGCUUCACAUGUAAAUCCCUUCUCCUUCUCCCUCCCCUCUUCCCCCCACGCCCACUAACC
rnacentral:lncRNA from 1 species